UUGCAGCUAUAUCAAGUUGAAACACUGGUUCUCGUACGAUCACUGAAGUUAAGCAACAUCUUCAUGGUCAGUACCUGGAUGAGUGACCGCGUGGGAAUGUCAGAUGCUGUAA